rnacentral:rRNA from 1 species
CUUCCUACGGGAGGCAGCAGUGAGGAAUAUUGGUCAAUGGCCGGGAGGCUGAACCAGCCAAGUCGCGUGAGAGAAGACGGCCCUACGGGUUGUAAACCUCUUUUGUCAGGGAGCAAGAGGCGGGUCGAGACCUGCUGUGAGAGUACCUGAAGAAAAAGCAUCGGCUAACUCCGUGCCAGCAGCCGCGGUAAUACGGAGGAUGCGAGCGUUAUCCGGAUUUAUUGGGGUUAAAGGGUGGGCAGGCGGGGGCACAAGU